AUCGCAUGAUAAUCCUAUUAAAGAAUUUCGGUUAUCGAUGGGGAUGCGUUCCAUUAGGCAGUUGGUGAGGUAACGGCUCACCAAACCUUCGAUGGAUAGGGGUUCUGAGAGGAAGGUCCCCCACAUUGGAACUGAGACACGGUCCAAACUCCUACGGGAGGCAGCAGUGAGGAAUAUUGGUCAAUGGACGGGAGUCUGAACCAGCCAAGUAGCGUGAAGGAUGACUGCCCUAUGGGUUGUAAACUUCUUUUAUACGGGAAUAAAGUGAUCCACGUGUGGAUUUUUGUAUGUACCGUAUGAAUAAGGAUCGGCUAACUCCGUGCCAGCAGCCGCGGUAAUACGGAGGAUCCGAGCGUUAUCCGGAUUUAUUGGGUUUAAAGGGAGCGUAGGUGGAUUGUUAAGUCAGUUGUGAAAGUUUGCGGCUCAACCGUAAAAUUGCAAUUGAUACUGGCAGUCUUGAGUACAGUUGAGGUAGGCGGAAUUCGUGGUGUAGCGGUGAAAUGCUUAGAUAUCACGAAGAACUCCGAUUGCGAAGGCAGCUUACUAACCUGUAACUGACAUUGAUGCUCGAAAGUGUGGGUAUCAAA
rnacentral:rRNA from 1 species